rnacentral:lncRNA from 1 species
AUGGAGAAUGAAUUAAGACUCACAUCUCACACAGGAGGGAAAAUUCACUGUGUGCUAUAAGCAAGGUACAUUGCCUUACAAUUUGGAGCAUGGUUUUUAUAAUUAAUUCUUCAUAAUAUCACCACUAUCCAACCCAGUCUCACCUCUCACACAAAUUGGACAGAGUUAUCACAAUUUCCUAUGGUUGUGAUUCAUAGUGUCUCUGAAUUUCCAGUCUUUCAAGGUUCACUGUGGAAGUAUUUGUGCAACAAUGUUUUGUCACAACUUUCUGUCAAGUCUAUAUAAAAUCUAGGUGUUCCUGAAUGAUGCAUUGGUAGAGGAGUUAGAACCAUCUAAAAGCAGUGAGAAGUGUUGUAAAACCACAUGGCCCUGAGAAGCCACAAUUAGUAAGGGAUCUCAUAGCUCAGGAAUAGAGCAGUGUAGUGGUAAUUCUGCCCCAUCUAGGCGUGCACCUUAUAAACAUUGUAACUGAAUUGUGUUUUUUUACAUGGGCUUAUUGGGGUUAGAGAUUUACUACAAUAAAUUGGUGUCCAAUGUAUUGAUUAGAACCCAACUAACCUGAUAAAAGUCCAUUGUCCCUCCUCCAUCCCUGAAUAAUUCUAACCCCGUUCCUGACGCUGUUUUUAGAUCUAUAUUUGCUGUUCUGUUUCCUCACAGUUUACUCAUUAAUAAGCAAUAAAGUAAAGAACUUAAGGGCCUAAUUGCCCAAGCAAAUUGAUCACUGUAUUUGUUGUUGUUGCAGUUUGGUUUCUCUCAGAUCAGAUUAACUAUCCAGAAGACCAUCAUCCUCCUUUUAUUUCAAAGUCCAAUUCUCCAUGACAAUUCAGCAUAGCCUCCUUAUCUUGCAAGCCAGGGUAGACCAAAGAAUUACCAAAUGAAGAAGUUAGCUUCCUACAGGUUACGGCUACCAGCACAGUAUUCCAGAAUUAGAAAUACAGGACUUUAUUCAUCACAAAUUUGACUAUUUGCAUAUUGUGUUCAAUACACAAAUUUAUGUUCCUAUUUAUAACAGGUUUCCUGAAGUUUGGGCACUCAACUCUUAAUUUAAUCUUUUUGUGGGUAUGAAAAACAAAGAAUGUAACUUCAGCCAAGAAAGCAGGUAGGCUAACUAUAGACUUCUCCUUCUGCUCAUCCAAAACCAAUCCCCAGCCUUAUCUAGAGCUCUGCAACAGACCAUGUGCUGUAUCCUACCUUUUUCUUUAAACCUCAGGGCCCAGUCUAUGACUAAACUUCUCUUCCCUCCUAAAUUUCCUCCCCACACUUAUUGCUUUAUUCCAGACUCCAGCUCCAACAGACAUUCCCUGGAAUCCCAAAAGCUGACCAAGCAUGCAGACUAGCUACAGAUCUUUCCCUCUCCCUAUCUCCUGAAGUUUAACACCCCAGUGUCACUCCCAUGUGGACUUUACUUUCUUUCUUCACCAAUCUCCAGUGGAUCAUACAGAUCUUCCACUCCAAACUUCCUUUGUACCACAUAUUGUUUUGUUCCAACCCCCCAACUUUAAUAGGUAAUCCUUGGCAACCCAAAGACCAUCUCAUCCAGAUAAGCAGGUAGAGUAACUGCAAAUCUUCAUCUGUCCCCUAUGUGUUUCAAUUUUAGCCCCCAAGACUCAUCUCCAAGUCUGAGGCAAACCCUUUGCUGUGACCUCUCUUCAUUCUAUUCCCUGUUCCCAGGAGUCUAAGUAAAUCCAGGUGGAACACACUGCUUUCCACACUCCUAUGAACCCUCUCAGCUAUGCCUCCUCUGAGACCAUCUCCAUUCCUUAAUGUCAGCUUCAAAUACUUAGGAACAUAUUUUACAUGAAACUCCCAGUGGCUACACCUAGCAGAAUUCCAGAAGCAACACACAGCUAACAAGCUUUACUAAGAACCAGAUAGAGAGCAGAAACCAAAGAACAAAGCACCCAUUUAACAAAGACAAAACAGAUAUAGGCUUCUAGUUUGACAAUUUUUCCAAACCCAGAUACCUAGAUGCAGUAAAAUUAUAAUUAAUAAUGGCCAGGAAAUUAUGUCAUCACUAGAGCCCUACUAUACCAGGCCACAAGUACUGCAACAAAGCAGACACAUAAGGAAAGACCAUAACUGUCUUAGAAAAUCUUAAAAACAUGAAUGAUUAUCAUGAUAUAUACCACUUACCAAAGUUAAAUCAAGAUCAGAUAAGCAAUGUAAACAGACCUAUAAUCCCCAGUGAUUAGAAGUCUCCAAACCAACCAACCAACCAAACAAACAAAAAACAAACCAAAACAAACCAAAAAACAAGGACCACAUAGUUUCAGUGCAGCCUUCUACCAGAUAUUCAAAGAGUUAAAUAUAAAUAUUCCUCAAGUUACUGCACAAAAUUGAAACAAAAAAAAUGUCCAAUUUACUUUGUGAAAUUUCAUUUACUCUGAUACUAAAACCAAAUAAAACCUAACAGAGGAAGAGAAUUACUUACAGACCCAUUUCUCUUAUGGACAUAGAUGUAAAAAAUUCUAGAUAAAAUACUUUAAAAAUCAAGCCCAAGAAUACAUGAAUAAAUCAUCCACCUUGAUUAAGUAAGUUUCAUCCCAGAGAUGCAGUGAUAAUUCAACAUAUGUAAAUAGAUAAAUGUAAUCCACCAUAUAAAGAAAUUUAAAGACAAAAAAAUAUGAUAAUCUUAUUAGGUACAGAACAUGCUUUUGACAAAAUCCAAUAUCUGUUCAUGAGAAAGUCCAAGAGAGAUUAGGAAUACAAGGGACCUACCUCAAAAUGGUAAAGGGUGAUUACAGCAAGCUCAUAGCCAAUAUCAACUUAAAUGGAAAGAAACUCAAAACAAUUAUACUGAUGUCAGAACAAGGCAAGAUUGUCUAAUCUCUCCAUAUGUAGCAAAAAUAGUACUUGAAGUCUCAGCUAAAAUAACAAGGUAAUUGAAGGAGAUCACGUGGCUUUAUUUGGAAAUGAUAUCAUAGUAUAUAUUAAUUAUCCUAAAAGAACUGGGAAACUUUUAUACCUCAUCAAAACUUUCUGCAAAGUAGCUGGUUAAAAAAAAAUUAAUGUAAAAAAAAUCAAUAGCUCUCCUAUAUAUGAAUGAAAAAGAAAGCUGGGAAGCAACACCUUUCACAAUAGUCUCAAAGAAUAUAAAAUAUCUUGGGGUUAUUCUAACCAAGCAAGUGCAACACUUGGAUGAUAACAUCUGAAGACAUUGAAGAAAGAAACUGAAGAUAAAAAGAUAGAAAGAUUUCACAUGCUCAUAGGAUUGGUAGAACUGUUACAGCAAAAAUGGCUACAAAAUUAAUAUAUAUUAAAAUAUAUUAAUUUAUAAAUUAGCAUAAUUAUUAAUAUUAACAUAUAUUGAAAAGCGACCUACAAAUUUAAAGUAAUGUCAUCAAAAUUUCAAAACAAUUCUUCACAGAUCUUUGAAAAAAUAAUCUUCAGCUUCAUAUGAAAACACAACAAAAUAUGAUAGCUAAAGUAAUCCUGAAUAGUAAAUGAACAGUGGGUGUUAUCACUAUCCCCAAUUUCAAGUUGUACUAAAUCAUAUAGAAAUAAAAAAAAAAAAAAAAACAGCAUUGUUUUAGU